rnacentral:rRNA from 1 species
UACGUAGGGCGCAAGCGUUAUCCGGAAUUAUUGGGCGUAAAGAGCUCGUAGGCGGUUUGUCGCGUCUGCCGUGAAAGUCCGGGGCUCAACUCCGGAUCUGCGGUGGGUACGGGCAGACUAGAGUGAUGUAGGGGAGACUGGAAUUCCUGGUGUAGCGGUGAAAUGCGUAGAUAUCCGGAGGAACACCAGUGGCGAAAGCGGCCACCUGGACUGCACCUGACGCUGACACGCGAAAGCUAGGGGAGCGAACGGG